ACCUAAUCAUAAUAUACAAGACCCAGAAAACAUCUUAAAUUCUGAUAAAUGAGUGUAACAACGUCUGUUUCCAGACUGAGUACCUAGAAGGAAAGAAAGCAGAAGUCCCUCAAAAUGUUCUCAGUGGUUUCAAAGAAAAUAUAACCAGGCAAAUGACAUGAGGCUUGAAUAGAGGAUAUAGUGGAUAAUACAAACAGAUUUGAAAAUGCUGGGAUUAUAUGCCUCAACUAAGAAGAUAAAAUUAAGGAAGACAACCAGACUUUUUAUGAAGUUACAUUCAGAGUCCAAUGAUAAAGGCACAAGACUUGUUGCCUAAUUGUGAUUUCCCUGACACUUCUCAUCUCUUCUCGGAGGACAUUGUUUGACUCAUCUCUGUAGAUCUUCUUUGUGGAUGGCUGAGAUCAAGCUUGUUCAGCCUACUCAGUCUGACUCCUGCCUUGACCAGGUUGAAGUUAAUUAGGAUGGGCAAAUGACAGUAGCAGUUCUGUGCCUGAACAUGAACUUCACUGAUUUGCAGAGACAGAGAGAGAGAAUUGGUUUCCAGUAGUUCCCCCAAAGAGUGAGUAACAUUCUUUGCCACAAAUCUCAAGAUUUGGUAUUUUAACUUUUCUUUUUUAUUUCUUAUUUAAAAAAUUUUAUUGACAUAUAGUUGAUUUUACAAUGUGGUGUUUUCUGUUAUAUGGAGUAGUUAUUUGGUUAUAGAUAUAUAUUUUUUCCUUAUAUAUUAAAUUCCCAGAAGAAGGAUGACUAUUGAAGAAUAUUUGCACAUUUAACUUUUAUAGAUGAGUAGACAUAAAGAUAAAUAGAUCAAUUUAUUUAUAGGUAUAUAGAAAGAGGAUAAAUGUUUGAUUCAAAAGUUUAUUAAUUUCCAGUUCUUUUGGUAUCAGUUUCUACAUUCACUUCAAGGAGAAAAAGAAAAAUUGUCUAUGUGUGUGUUCCAUAUCUUGUUUGCUAACUAAGAGAUUACCAAUUAUCUCUUGGUUAACUUUGCUAACCAAGAGUUAAAUAACUCAAUGAAAUUUUAAAUUGCAUCUAUAUUAAUAGUAAAGAUUGACAUUAUGAAGUCUCAAUACAUGUUUUUUGAGAGAAUAUUUUUUAGAAGUUUUGUUCAUAGACUAUUUGUAUUUUGUCUUAAGUAAUGUUCCUUUCACCCAAGUCUUUUAACUCAAAAGUUCGUGCUUCAUGAGAUAGCUGAGUAAUGUUGAAAGGUCAAGGGUCGGGCCAGUAAUUUAGGAUGAUAGAAUUAAUCUUAUCCUCUGGGUUUUCUGUCUGUUCAUUAACUCUGGAUGGUUAACUUGGUUCUCUAAUUAUAGGAAUGAAUAGUUACUGGGUAGAUUUUUCUGUGUUUAUAUUUAAAAGAUUGAGAAACACUAAAUGACAGUUUAACAUACAUGCUUUUUUUCUUUAGUGGAUAUUUAAGGAGAGAUUCACCGUCGUUAAAGUUUUUCUUGAUGUCUGAAUAUCUUAGGGCAAUUUAAUUUUUUAAUUCCAACUGAGCUUCCUGAAAUGAAGAUUUCUGAUGCUCUACUGCCCUUAGAAUAAAUCAGCAUGUAUCUGAAUCACUACUAAACCAAAACCAUGGUUUUCUUUAAAAAGAUAAUUGACUUAAAAGUUGUUCAUUCAAGUUACUCUAUAUUUUUCAGUUGUUAUAGUCUUGUUUUGGUUAUUCAUGUGAAAUCACUUUGGAAUUGAGUCAUUUAUAAAGUGAUUGGAAAAUACUUAUUACCAUGAAAAUAUUCUAAUAAGUAGCUCAGAUAAGAGGCUAGUUAGCUUAAUUGAAGGACCAUUGAACAGAGUUAAAAUGUGGAUUUUAAUGUUAGUGCCACAUAAUGUGUAUUAUGUGAACAAAGUCGAAUCUCUUUGCUUCUCUGCAACUUAAUUUUACUCAUAUAUAAAAUGAAUGGGUUGGUCUAUAUGUAUGAUUCAUACAAAGAACAAUAUUUAGAGGUGUUUUUUUUCCCAUUCAAAAUUUAAUGAAUGAAAAAAAAAAAAUGUUGUGGCUUAGCAGUAAAAAACUCAACUAGUAUCCAUGAGGUGGCAGCUUCGAUCCCUGGCCUUGCUCAGUGGGUCAAGGAUCCAGCAUUGCCAUGAGCUGCAGUGUAGGUCACAGAUGUGGCUCAGAUCCUGCAUUGCUGCUGCUGUGGCGCAGGCAGGCAACUACAGCUCCAGUUCAACCCCUAGCCUGGGAACGUCCGUAAACCGCUGGUGUGGCCCUCAAAAGACACACACACACACACACACACACACACACACACACACACACUAACAAACAUAUAUAUGUAUAUGAAGGCUAAUGGGGAAAAUGUGAAUUUUUGAUAAUUGAUUACUUGAUCUGUGUAAUACAAAAAUGCUACCAUAAAAGUGUGACAUUGUGUUAGCCAAUGUGUUAAAUAUAUUUUUCAAAGACAGAUGCAACAGUAUCUUCCAUUCCAUAUACUCUUCUACAGUGUUAACCUGUAACUUCCUAUUGAAAGAUUGGUUAUAUUUCAUCUUUUUCUUUAAUCCGGUUAAGUUUGUGUCUGUGUUGACCAAUAGAGGAUGGUAGAAAGGAUACUAUGUAACUUCAGUGGCUGGGUUAUGUAAGUCCAUGUGUCUUUCAGAAGGCUAGAUUUUAGACCUGGUUAAGAAGUCCAACUUUCCUGAGCUCUCCCUGUUACACAAAAAGUCCAUUUGCAGGUGCUCUGGUUUACAAGCACAGCUUAGAUCCCAGUCGACAGCCAGACAUGUAAGUCAAGACACCUUAGAUGUCUUUGCCACUAAACAUUGAGUCUUACCAGCUGAGGUUUCAGAUAUCAUGAAGCAGAAAUAAGCUACAUCAUUGUGUUGAUUCCAGUUUCCUGAUCCACGGCGUCCAUGAUCACCAUAGAGUGGUUGUCUUCUGUCAUCAAGUCCUACGGUAAACAGACAAUACUAAGCAUAUAAACCUUUUGAACUUGGAAGUGAAGUCCUAUACAAUAUCGCAUAUUGUAGAUAGCACUAUACUGUAUUACAGCCAACUAUACUAAACUAUCCAUAAUAAAAAACUAAACCGUGUAACAUUGUGUUUGGGACCAAGCAGAAAGUAGUCAAACCCACAAGGAAACCCUAAUGAAAGCAAGGAGGAUGUUGAUGGUUAAGGCUUGGGAGACUAGGGAGAAAAUAUUAUAAAAAGUUAUAUGAAAGUAGUUAGUAAAUGAAGUUGUGGAAAAUUUAAUAAAACUGUCACCUUGAAUAACGUGGAAAAUAAGAAAUGUACUUAGUUAACUUGAUGAGAUAGUGGUGGGUAUUUCCUGUCAUAAACUAAGGCAAGGCAGAGAUGGACUGAAGAACAAACUAUUCAGUUCUCGAGUAUAAAUUGAAGGAUAUAUAGUUUCCAGAACAGUCUUUCAAACAGCAGUGGGUUUUCAAAUUAAGAAGGGUCCUGUGGAUCAACAUCAAUUCCAGGAUGGAAAUGUAAAACCAUUCUCAGUACCGCAGAAAGAUCUCAGGUGAUGUCACAUAGAAUGUUUCAGAAGGCCAAAACCCCUUGCAAGGACCUCGAGAGCAAACAUUUCAUUAAAGAAACGUGGUUUCAUAUUUUAAGAGCAUGGUAACACUCACCCUAAGUUUAUAUACUUUACAUUUUUUUAUACUUUACUUUUUUUUUUUUUUUUUUUUUUUUUUUNUUUUUUGUCUUUUUGCCAUUUCUUGGGCCACUCCCACGGCGUAUGGAGGUUCCCAGGCUAGGGAUCCAAUGGGAGCUGUAGAUGCCGGCCUACGCCAGAGCCAUAGCAACACGGGAUCCGAGCCGCGUCUGCGACAUACACCACAGCUCACAGCAGUGCAGGAUCCUUAACCCACUGAGGAAGGCCUCAUGGUUCCUAGUCGGAUUCGUUAACCACUGCGCCACAACGGGAACUCCCUAUACUUUACAUUUUUAACCACAGAAGACGUGCACAACUUUCCCCAUUUCCUAACUGUAAACUGCAAGAAAUAAUAGUUGUAAGAUAAUGGUUAAUUGAAUAUAAAUUAAAUGCCUGGUUUUUGUCAGAAUUAAUUCAAAUAGUAUAAGAUACUCAUUCAGUGCACUCCAGAGCACUAUUGUCAGGGGCUGGGCACACCAACUCCUUCUAGGAAACUACUGCUCUUAACCCGAAGUGAUGAGUACCUGGAGAAAAAAAGUGGCAUUGGCUUUUGGACUGAUCAGACCCCCACAAGAAGUGUAUCUGAGACAGCCACAUACAAAACACCAACAACUGGGACAAUUGAGAGAAUGUUGUAUAUUGGAAAAAGUUCUGUUUGCAUCAUCAUCCCCCCCCCCCCCCCCCCAAAAAAAAAA
rnacentral:lncRNA from 1 species